rnacentral:lncRNA from 1 species
AUAGCAGCAACAGCUUUUCCAGGUUCUGCAGUCAUUUGAGCAAAAUUGUAGAGACAUCCAGCACUCUCCAUUAAAAAAAAAAAAGUAAAAAACAAAAUCCCAGAAAAAAUAGCACAGUUCUGUUACCCUUGUGGUACCUGGCACCAUUUUUAUUUAUUUAUUUAUUUUUUUUAUGGGCAGCAGGCAGCACUCUGGAGAAAAACUUGGUGUUUAGCAAGUGACCCGCCCAAGCUCACAUCAUUAGCAGCAGACAGUAGCUUAGAGGCUUGAACAUGUCCACACUCUAGCGUUCAAUGUUUUCUUGCAGACAUCUUUCUCAGCCUGAUUCUUUCCAGGAGGAUAGUCCUGCUACAGGUGAUUCUCUAGACGCCAGAUUGUAAGGAAGUAGGGAAGAGGCACGGGAAGCUUAAGCUUUCCUGAGGACAGGCAGGGCCAGUGAAGGAGUGCAGAGCUCUCUCCUUGUUCUGGAUGGUUGCCAGGGCGAUUGUUUAAGAAGGGACUUCCGUAGGGGACCGGCUGUGGCUGUGGACAGAUUCUAGGAGCAUUGCUGAAAAUGGCCUCAGGGACAGAGGCUCUUGUCUUCCUUGGGUCCUCAGAAGUUGGAAUCAGGCAGUUUUAUUUGCUGGAGGAAAUGGAAAUUAAGGGCUUGCUUAAACUGGGCUGGAAUAUACAGGUGCCAUGAGAUAGCAGGUGACGUUGCCUGUGGGAACGAAGCUGAUCCAGAAAGGGUCCGUAGCGGACAUGGCGAGGGGGGAAGGCAAUAGCGCAGCCCUCCGAGUAAAAAGUCCUGGUUUCUGCGCAGGCACAAGGGACCAUGCCGUCUAGCUGAGAGAGGAGAUGGACAAGCCUUGCAGCUGGCCUAGACAGCCUGCCUGCCCAAAGAGGAGGUGGGGGAGGGAACAGGGGUAAGACCCGGGUGCCUUCCUCCCAGAAGACAGCUGGUGGGCGUGAGGCUGGUGGGUGGAGGUUACCGGGCCACCCCUCCCGCUUCUCUGCAGAAGCAGUUGAAGAAACUGUCCCCUUUUGUUGUCUUUACCACUGGGUGUUUUCAGAGGAGACCCAAGACCAGAGGAAAAUCAGCAGCCGGAGUCCAGCUGCCACCCUUAGCAAAUGAACUUGGUUGUUUUCACGAAGUCUCUUGUGCCGCCCUCAUCCCAGUCCAGUCUGCUUUCCUGACCUGAUGGAGACUGGUGUGUGGGCGGAACCUCCCUGAGCCCUGCAGACACGAGCUGCUACGGAGAGGAGGUGAGCUGCUAUGUG